rnacentral:lncRNA from 1 species
CCCAGCCUUUGGUUGGUCCCAUGGCACCCAUGUGAUGGAGGACGUGAUCCAUUAAUGACCACUAAUGCCCGUGAUGUUGUGUAUUAAGCAACGUAAUCCCCUAUUCAAUACUUCCCAGUGUCGAAUAAAAAGUUUGGGUAUUUCAGAAUAAAAUGAUGAAUCUAAAAGAGUAAAUGCUGCGUUUUGAGCUGUAAGACUAAAGGAUCUACUCCUUCUGCUUUGUUUCCAGAGGGGAUGCAAACCAUGAAGACCUCCUUUUCCAUGCCGUAAUCUAAAAGCAUCCAGGAAUGAUUCUGCCCAACAGGUUUUUUUCCAACCUGUCUGUAUUCAGCUCACAUGCUGGGUUGUAUUUAAACAGAAGAUCAACUGAUAAUUGCGGCACCACUGCUGGCGUCGCUGUAGCGAUGAGCCUGCCAGCAUUUCCAGGUUGAAAUUUGGCAUGCAACAGUGCAGCCUGGAAGCCAAUUUUAUUAAAAUGAGUGGGGGAAAAAAGAAUCUGUUUGGCUUCUUUCACUCGAUAAGAAUGU